rnacentral:tRNA from 1 species
UGGGGUGUAGCUCAGUGGUAGAGCGCUUGCCUAGCAUACAUGAGGCCCUGGGUUCCAUCCCCAGCAACACAC